rnacentral:rRNA from 1 species
UACGGGGGGGGCAAGCGUUGUUCGGAAUUACUGGGCGUAAAGGGCUCGUAGGCGGCCAACUAAGUCCGACGUGAAAUCCCCAGGCUUAACCUGGGAACUGCGUCGGAUACUGGAUGGCUUGAAUUCGGGAGAGGGAUGCAGAAUUCCAGGUGUAGCGGUGAAAUGCGUAGAUAUCUGGAGGAAUACCGGUGGCGAAGGCGGCAUCCUGGACCGGCAUGACGCUGAUAAGCGAAAGCUAGGGGAGCAAACGGG